CCAGGCGCUGGAAGGAUGACGCGGCACCUGGGGCUGGUGCUGAGGGAUCCAGAGGUCAGGGCCAGAUUCCAAACUCAGACUCCAGAAACCAAGGAGGAGCAAGCACAGGCUUCCCAGGUGACCCGGCCCGCAGGUCAGUCGACAGGGAUACCUGGAGGAGGGGGUCAGCCCAAAGCUGCCCCUUCAGUCACUCUGUUCCUGCCCUUCCCUGAGGAGUUCCAAGACAAGGCCAUACUGGUGUGUCUGAUAACUGACUUUCGUCCAGGCUCCAUCUCUGUGACCUGGAAGGCAGAUGGCAGCCCCAUCACCCAGGGCGUGGAGACCACCCAGCCCCUGAAACAGAGCAACGGCAAGUACACAGCCAGCAGCUACCUGAGCCUGGCAGCUGACCAGUGGAGAGGUCACAGCAGGUACAGCUGCCAGGUCACUCACGAGGGCAAGACCGAGGAGAAGACAGUGGCCCCCGCAGAAUGUGCUUAGGGCCCCAGCCCCCAUCCCAGCCCUGGGGGCCUGGAGCUGCAGGAUCCCAGGGGGCCCUUUCUCACCCUGAAAUCCUUUUCCCUAAGUCUCUUCUGUCCCCCUAAGCCACCAGGCUGGCAUCAUCUCAAACCAGGAGGCUCUUUCACCCUCCCCAAUUCUACUUCUCCUCAAUAAAGACCUA